rnacentral:lncRNA from 1 species
ACUGUGUUUGUUAAUUUGUUUGCAAGAGUAUUUGAUGUUGAAUGUUGUCUAAGGUUUUUAAUAGUGUUAGUUUAAUUACCAUGCUAGCUUAAAUUAGUUUGUUGCAUCUGUGUCUUUAUAUUGAGUUCUUUAAUUUUUGCAAAACCUUUUCAACCCCCCCCUUUCCGUGUUAGAUUCAAUUCUUGAACCGCAAAAUUGGGCCUUGAGAGACGACCUAGGAGUCACUUCCUAGUCUAUACUGCAUUUCUAAUAUGCAAUCAAAUUUGUAUGGGCCGCGACACCCAUCAAUC